UAAACUAGGAUUAGAUACCCUCUUAUUUAAAAUGUAAAUUNUUAUGCUGAAUUAGUAUUAGUUAUGUUCUUGAAAAUUAAAAAAUUUGGCGGUAUUUUAGUCUUUUCAGAGGAACCUGUCCUUUAAUUGAUAGUCCACGAUUCAAUUAACUUUAUUUAUUAGUUUACAUAUCGUCGUAGUUUGAAUAUUUUAAUAGAAUAUUAAUAUUCAAAAUUCUUUAUUAAGAAAAAAAUCAGAUCAAGGUGUAGUUUAUAAUAAAGGUGAGAUGGGUUACAAUUAUUUUAUUAAAGGAUAAUUUUUAUAAUAAAAAUUUGAAUUUGGAUUUGAAAGUAAUUUUAAUUAGUUAAUUAAAAUGAUUUAAGCUCUAAAAUAUGUACACAUCGCCCGUCGCUCUUAA
rnacentral:rRNA from 1 species